UCGUAGGCUUGUUGGGGACAAAUCAGGUGGAUAUGCGAGUCGAUACCUCCUGCGGUGAGGAUGCUAUGCUCUCCUGCAAUGACAUCGGUACCGUUGCCGACGAUCAUGUUGGGAUGGACACCGUCCAUGACGUCCGGAUUGCCCGCUUUGCCAAUGCCCACGAUGAUGCCGUCCUUGAUACCCACGUCGGCCUUGUAGAUGCCGGACCAGUCGACAAUCAGCGCAUUGGUGACGACCGUGUCAAGCACAUCGGCAUCUUUCCGGUCUGAUGCUUGUCCCAUGCCUUCUCGA
rnacentral:sRNA from 1 species